rnacentral:lncRNA from 1 species
CCCCCCCCCCCAUUGUCACCUUCUUCCUCAUGAACCUAAGAAUCCAUACACACGCACAGAAACGGGAAGGGGAUAGCAGCGAAUCCAUUGAGCUAGAGCGAGGCAGACCGGUCGGAGGUUCAUGGAGGGUCUACGACGAGAUUAGUUAGGUCCGCGCCCUGUUUUGAUUUUGCUUCUGGAAUUUCUGUUCGGAAGUUUGUUAAGAAAUCUAUUCGAGAUCGUUUUAGGUUCGUCUCUCUGUUUAUUUUCUUAUUUUGUUUUGGUGAUUCAAUUCCCUGUUGCAAAGUUUCUGGAUUUUUAAUUUUUUUUUAGUUAGAAUAAAUGGCUAUUUCUUGUUGUGUUACUCUAGCUGAGUGGUAUUAUUGCUGAAGUUAUUGCACAAUUUCACCCAAUCUGGCUUUUCUGCCUUCAUUUGGGUUUUGUCCAGUGUUUGUUGCUGUGAUUAGCUAAACUUUCAUUUUUCAUUUCUGACCUUUAUUUGGUCGAUCUCUACUGCUGAGGGUUACUGCUCCUUGUUUGCAUUCUGAUAUGUUAUUUCAAACGAUAACGAAUUACUACAAAUAGGCAUAUAAUGAUUUGUAAUUACCUGUUCAAUGUCCUUACAUUGUUAGUAAUUAGUAGCAUAUAGACAAUUCCUAAGGAUAUGGUUGUUUGUGUGUUGAAAACCAGUAUAUGUAGUUUAUACCUGGGACAUGCGCUUUAGCUAUGAUAAGCUAUUUUGUUCAUUCUGCAUUCCUUUUUAUAUGUUCUUAUAAGAUGGUUUUGUUAUUUCAGUAUACGUGUUUUAGAAAUGUUUAGG